CAAGGCCAGCCUGGUCUACAGAGCGAGAUCCGGGACAGGCAGCUACACAGAGAAACCCUGUCUUGGGGAGGAAAAAAGUUUCAGCAGCUUGUUUUCCACAUCGGUUUGUCUGUUACAGAAUGUUUAGGAAUGUUUUCAUCACCUAACAUCUCGCUCCUUGACCUCCCUCUGCUGGCGAGGAGAGGGACUCUGUCCUGGAGUGUUCGCGUCCCUUGUCCCCCCCAUCACAUCGCCCGAGAAAGCAAUACCAGACUCCAGACUGGAGUGUGCCCCAGGAAGGCACGGCUCCCCUUAUCACCCUGUAUCAGAGAUCGCCCAAGGAGACAACUGUUUAACGAAUGGACACCGGGAGCCACCUGUGUCUUAGCGAGUUCCUAGGCUUUGAAUCACUCCCACCUGGAGGGAGGAGGGAGGCUCACUGACUCCGGAAGCACAGGAAAUGUAGGAGCAAGAAGCUCAGAGAGUUAAAAAUUGACCAGCCUCCUACCCAAAGCUAUAAAAGCAUUAACUGGCUGGGAGAGGACUCUAGGGCUGCUCAGAAGGCGUCCGCGGAGCUCCAGGGAUCAGCCACGCUGGGACUUCAGGUAAUGCUGCUGCUGCCUCUGAGUCACCCAGCAAAGUCACUGGUUCAUCAAGCCAGAUGAAGUGGAAGCCUUUCUUUGGUCCGUCAGUCAUUCCACAGGCUUUCAGACACCCACAUGGCAGCUCACAACCACCUCAAACUCCAGUUCCAGGGGAUCCGAUGCCCUCUUCUGAGCUCAGCAGGCGCCAGGCACACAGCUGUGUUACUGUGCCUGUCUAAAACAUCUGAUGGCCUAAUAAAGAACUGAAUGACCAAUGGCAAGACAGGAGAAAGGAUACGUAUAAAGAUUACAUGGAGAAAUUUGGAAAAGAUCAAAGAACAAGAGAGGAAGGAGGACUCCAGGAGCCAGCCACCCAGCUACACAGCAAGCCAUGGAGUAACAUUUGCAGA